rnacentral:rRNA from 1 species
UAGGGAAUCUUCCGCAAUGGACGAAAGUCUGACGGAGCAACGCCGCGUGAGUGAAGAAGGAUUUCGGUUCGUAAAACUCUGUUGUUAGGGAAGAAAAAAUGUAUAGUAACUAUAUACAAAAGAGACGGUACCUAACCAGAAAGCCACGGCUAACUACGUGCCAGCAGCCGCGGUAAUACGUAGGUGGCAAGCGUUGUCCGGAAUUAUUGGGCGUAAAGCGCGCGCAGGUGGUUUAGAAAGUCUGAUGUGAAAGCCCACGGCUGAACCGUGGAGGGUCAUUGGAAACUAAUAAACUUGAGUGCAGGAGAGAAAAGUGGAAUUCCUAGUGUAGCGGUGAAAUGCGUAGAGAUUAGGAGGAACACCGGUGGCGAAAGCGGCUUUUUGGCCUGCAACUGACACUGAGGCGCGAAAGCGUGGGGAGCAAACAGG